CAAAUUGAGCACUAAUAACUGAAUUCACCAACGCAGACUGGCUUGGGAAGUGGGAAGCGACCCAAAGGCCAAAGACGACUCGGCGCUAGCAUGAAGAAGCCUGAUCUAAGUAGCUUCAGACCUCCAUCUCUUGCAGCAGCAGGACCCAUUUUUCCUAGAGGAAAAAACAUCAUCAAAACUACUAUUUCAAGGCCAAAAACAUCAUCUAUAAAGAACAGUAUAGAUAAUAAUGAAAAGACAACAUCAGUAGAAGAAAUAAGAGUUUGCACUAACAGGACUUGCAGGAGACAAGGUUCAUUAGAUAUUCUUCAAAUUCUAUCUGGGAUUGCCCCUCCUUCUGUCUCCGUCAACUCCUGUGGCUGCCUCGGCCGCUGUGGUGCCGGUCCCAACGUCGUCGUUUUGCCUCAGGGAGCCUUUGUCGGCCACUGUUCGUCCCCUGCUAAAGCAGCCCGUCUCAUGGUUUCGUUGGUUUGCGGUUUUCAUAGGAAUGAUAAGGACUUUGAGAGGAGUAGUAUGGAGUGUCUGGAAGCAUUUGCUUUGAGGAAGAGAGCUGAAGAUGAGAUGGAAAAGGGGAAUCUUGAUGGAGCCCUGCUUUUUCUUUCACAGGCUAUAGAACUUAGGCCAUUUGGAGGUGUCCAUAUAACGUAUAAAACCAGGUCUACAGCAAGGUUAGCCAUGGGAAACAUCUGCGAAGCUCUUGAUGAUGCUAAAGAAGCUUUGACCCUUGCAGCAAAUUACCCUGAGGGUUAUAUCUGCCAAGGUGAUGCUUUAAUGGCCAUGGACCAAAUUGAUGCUGCAGAAAAGUCUUAUGCAAUGGCUUUGGAGUUAGAACCUUCUCUUUGCCGUUCCAAGUCUUUCAAGGUGUGAUGCCAUCUUGAUGUUCUGGUACACAUGUUCAUCAAAGAUGUUUUAUGGCCCUAUCUGGCUCGGAUUGCAGCGCUUCAAGAGAAACUCUCUCCUGCAAAUUCAGCUUAAGGCAUUAUUUCGGCUGCAUGUGUACAUAUGUUAAAUUAACAUUAUGGAGCGUACACCUUAAAUCAAUGGGAUUAUUCUUUGCUUGCAUGCUCUUGCGGAAUGUUGAAAACAAUACGGGUAAUAUUCAAUUUCUUUAAUUCUCAGCUUCGAACUGAGCUUCCAAAUUAUUUGUUGUGAUGAAAAUUUUUGUCUUGUUUUGCCUGUCAAAAGUGUGAUCAUGAAUUCAACAAUAAAUUUAGAUGCACAAUGCCAAUCUCGUGUUUGUCAUAUUCAUUUAUGUUCUUUCUGUUUGUCUAUGUUUAUGUGAUUUCAUAACUUGCAUGGGUUCUUCACAGGAUUGAUAUAUUUUUCUUCCACCUGGCCUUUUUCGGUAUACCAAUAUCUGUGCCCUCGAUUACCAGCCAGUUCUCUACCAGUGCGAAACAUCUGGAAUCAAUUGAAGUGACCACCUAGCGUUGUAAGAAUAAAAGAAGACCAUUUUUUCAACAUCCUCAACUUCAGUUUAGAUAGGAAAUGAUGAAAAUAAAAUAGUUAACAACUUAAGCUGUAUAAUUAGAGGUGGUUAAUAAAUCUAAAGUUGAACUGAUUUUGUUACCAUGUACAUAGUCCCUUGGCCAUAAUUUUAUUCCAUGUAUAGACUCUGAAAUUGUCAUAGAUAUUCCUCCAUGAAGCUUCUUUUUUCCUCUCUCAGUGGGAUGACUUCC